rnacentral:rRNA from 1 species
ACUCCUACGGGAGGCAGCAGUGAGGAAUAUUGCGCAAUGGGCGAAAGCCUGACGCAGCCAGACCGCGUGAAGGAAUAAGGUCGUAAGAUUGUAAACUUCUUUUAUAUGAGAGGAACCGUCGGUACGUGUACCGGCCUGACAGUAUCAUAUGAAUAAGCACCGGCUAACUCCGUGCCAGCAGCCGCGGUAAUACGGAGGGUGCAGGCGUUAUCCGGAUUUACUAGGUUUAAAGGGUCUGUAGGCGGUAUAAUAAGUCAGUGGUGAAAGCCCGGAGCUCAACUUCGGAAUAGCCCUUGAUACUGUUAUACUUGAGUUAAGUUGAUGUUGGCGGAAUACAUCAUGUAGCGGUGAAAUGCUUAGAUAUGAUGUAGAACACCGAUUGCGAAGGCAGCUGACAAAGCUUAAACUGACGCUGAUAGACGAAAGCGUGGGUAGCGAACAGGAUUAGAUACCCUGGUAGUC